GGAGGAGGUCAGGCGGUCGCGGACGGCCGCACGAGCCGUCCGAGGAAAGUCCGAGCUCCAGAGGGCAGGGUGCUGGGCAACACCCAGUGGGAGCGAUCCCAAGGAAAGUGCCACAGAAAGGGAGACCGCCCAAGGGGCCUUCGGGCUCCCGGCAAGGGUGAAAAGGUGAGGUAAGAGCUCACCAGUGUUCCCGGUGACGGGGGCAGCUUGGUAAACCCCACCCGGAGCGAGACCAAAUAGGAGAGGAGAAGCGGCCCGCUUCGCUAUGACUCUCGGGUAGGUCGCUCGAGUCGGCGGGCAACCGCCGUCCCAGAUGAAUGACCGCCGCGGGGGACUGUUCGCGGUCCCUCGACAGAACUCGGCUUACGACCUCCUCCUGUC
rnacentral:RNase_P_RNA from 1 species